rnacentral:rRNA from 1 species
GACGAACGCUGGCGGCGCACCUAAGACAUGCAAGUCGGACGAUCCCUGCGGGGAUAGUGGCGGACGGGUGAGUAACACGUGGGCGACCUGCCCUUCGGUGGGGGAUAACGGGGGGAAACCCUCGCUAAGACCGCAUGCGCCCGGGCCCAUAGGGGGGCUCGGGGAAAUGCCGGGAGGCAGCCGAGGGAGGGGCCCGCGGCGGAUUAGCUAGUUGGGGGGGUAGCGGCCCCCCAAGGCCGCGAUCCGUAGCUGGUCUGAGAGGACGGCCAGCCACACC